GUCAGGACGAACGCUGGCGGCGUGCUUAACACAUGCAAGUCGAACGGGGAUAGCGUUGGAAGUCCUUCGGGGUGGAAGAUGCUAUUCGAGUGGCGGACGGGUGAGUAACGCGUGAACAAUCUGUCCCAGACAGGGGGAUAACACUUGGAAACAGGUGCUAAUACCGCAUAAGACCACGGUGUCGCAUGGCACAGGGGGUAAAAGGAGCGAUCCGGUUUGGGGUGAGUUCGCGUCCGAUUAGCCAGUUGGCGGGGUAACGGCCCACCAAAGCGACGAUCGGUAGCCGAUCUGAGAGGAUGACCGGCCACAUUGGAACUGAGAGACGGUCCAAACUCCUACGGGAGGCAGCAGUGGGGAAUAUUGGGCAAUGGGCGAAAGCCCUGACCCAGCAACGCCGCGUGAGUGAAGAAGGCCUUCGGGUUGUAAAGCUCUGUUAUAGGGGACGAAGUGCGUGACGGUACCCUAUAAGGAAGCCCCGGCUAACUACGUGCCAGCCGCUGC
rnacentral:rRNA from 1 species